UACUUACUACUGGGUGAUAUAACGCCACUCUUUCCCCAUGAGUCCAAGCAUCACUGGCAGCAGCAACCGGAGUUUCUUUCUGAGUUUCACAUUGCUGUGUUGCUUUAGCUGAUGCUUCAAUUAGCCUAAGUAUAAAUGUAGAAUUGUUCACGGUCAGAAACUUUUUGCUGGUCGUGACAACAUGUCAUUAACUGCAGGGAUAUCACCUAAAUCAGUUUAGUUUGACUAAAACUGCCAGCUGAGAUAAGGACAGACGGCAGGGCGACAGACGUCAGAUCUCCCACACAAAAGGCUGGGGUUACAGGUCAGCACAUGAAGACUAACAGGACGACAUGCUGCGGCAGUGUUGAGCCCGGCCUGAGCCACGGCACACAUCAACAUGUGACACUAAUUAUGAGAGAGAACUGUUUGGACUUGCUGCUUCCUUCCUGCCAAAAUACACACUGUUCUUUCUCGCUGUCUCUCUUUACACAAAUUCCAGUUUCUCUCAGAUUCUCUCUCCCUGCCUGGCUCUGGCAGGACAGAGGUGAACGGUCAGCAGACAGAGGUCUAUUUAUACUGUGAUUGAGGUGGAGCUGUGUUUCAGGGCAGGAAGUGCCUCACCUCAGCCGGAGCUUUUUAAGCAGCAACUCUGUCACCUCUCCACUGACAGAGGCAGAGAAGCCAACAAACACACAGAGCCCAUUCCACUCUGGACGCAGCAGCAGAAAUGGCUGCCAUAAUCACAGAUAUGAUCUCUACAUGGUCCCCAUCCACAUCAUAGCUGAAGAAAUCAUUGAGACAGGCAGACUGGACUCACAGUGUGGAAAAGCAUGCAGUGUCCGAUGCGGGACUGGACAUCCUCUGGGCCAGCGUUACACGAGUCUUCCCGCAAGAGGCUCCAAGUUCCAGCCUGGCAGUGGUAGGCGUACAGGCCGCUGAACUGAGGCUCUGACGUCCGACUGUCCUCCACACUGCCGUUACAUGUCAGGAUGCGACCGCCAAACGUGUAGAUCAUGUGCUUCUCAGAGUCCAUGCACAUCUGCAGGAAGAGCAGGGAGCAGAGGACAAGAGAUGGAGGAAACAGGAAGUGUGAGAGUUCAGAAAGGUUCCAGGAGGAAGCAAAAGGGCAGCAGGAUGACUUUCGUAUUUUCACUGUGUGUGUGAAAGGAUUGAACAGAGGUAUCGACUUUAUUUACUUAAUUCAUGAAUGCUGGUGCACUUUAAAAUAAAAGAAAGUUUUUAGACAAUA